rnacentral:lncRNA from 1 species
GGAAGGCUUUGCCAUCUAUCUUGGGCCCUUCACAACCACUGGCAAAUUGUAGCAAUCAUCAGCUCCCUCUCUAAUGGUAUUCAAGGCCUGUCACCGCUCCCCCAGCCUCUGAGGCUGGGUGCAAUCUGCCAUUUAGCCACCAAAGAGGAGCGCGUUUCUCAGGCUGUUAAUGGCAAGCUCUCAAGGCAAAGGGAGAGCCGGCUCAUGAAUACCAACAUAACUCUCUCAUAUUGACCUGUCUGCGUUCCCAUAACCUGAGAAGAAAAAAAACCUGCCCUCCAGGCAUCUAUUCACCACGUCACGUUUUCCUUUUGAAAGUUUUUCAAGGGAAAGUGUUCCAUCCCUUGGAUCAUUUUUGUGGCUGUCCUCUGGACAUGCUCCGCAACUCUCCUGCACUGAGGACUCCACAUCUGGAUGCAGUAUGCCAGGUUAAACAGUGGACAUUUUACUCUCUAAACUCUGAAGCUGUGUGUGUGUGUCAGCUUCCAGUUUGACAGAUGCAGCCACAGUAAUAUCACUGGAUCUCCUUGAGAGAAGCUGUCACCACGAGCGAAGCAGUCACAGACACCAGCCUGAACCCUCCAUAAACCUUCAAGUGGCUUUGCUUGGAAAACUCAGAACCACACCAACAUUGUGACUUCUUUUAGGCACCAUCAACUGGAAUUCCUUGAAGCCUUUUGCUUCAUUCUCAAUGUUUCUGAAGCAGAGAUCUACACAGAUACUGGACAAACCGUUUACCUAUUGACAGGCUUGGGAGGGCAGCUAUUUUCUUAACGAGGACAUAGAUAUAUAGCAAUUUUUGAAAGAAGAUGCCUUAAGAAUGCAUCUGUGAUUUCUUUUCAUGUAAUAAUGCAUAUUCUUAGCUAGUAUAAAGCCACAGGGUACCAUCAAGUUUUGUCAUGUAACUGUUACAAUACAAUUUCAUAGAACUGAUUCUUCUUCCAAGAGGCUCCCUAUGAAUGCUGCAUGAAACCUAAAUGAUAAUGAUGUAUCCGAUACAUCUCCAUUUUCACAUUUUCUCUGCCAACUACAGAAUCUCUAAUCACAAUUUUUAAACAUCUGUGCCUAAGUUUAGUGUAACUAAAAAAGCAAUGGUGAUGAUAAUAACCAAAGUCAAAAGUGUAUGGUAUACAAAAUUCUGUUUUACUCAGCCUUAUCCAAUUUAUUCGUCACAAUCCCCAAAUUCUACUGCCUCGUCAGAAUUCAAUGGCUGCUUUUCCGAAGCUCUAAAGAGAAUCGUAGCAUUGAUUAUCUGUUGGCUGCUGGCAUCUGGCUGCUCCACAUUAACUCUAAGAAUUUCCUGCUCAAAGUCAGAUCGUACUUACUUUGGGCUUUAAGUUUUUUUGGUAUUGUUGUUCAUUUGUAAAUUUGACCAACUUUUAUCACGAGUGUGUUCCAGCCUCUGACUGGGUCUCUAAGGUACAAGCCCUGUAACCUCUAGAUAUGACUGCACUUUAACGUGAAUGCCAUAAGCCACUCUCAUCCUGAAGACAAGGCCUAUAGCAGAGAAAUACGGGGGCCAUGCCCCAGGCUCAGUUAAAUGUCAGGAAAACAUAAAUGUGUUCUGCUCCUAUAGCUCAUCAUUCAAACCUCUGUUCAAGCGAGACAUGUUGAUUAGAACUAUUUGUACAAGAGCUUCUUAAAUUCAAAUGAUCUAAAUUAAACAACAACUUCAACCUGCUCAGGUGUUUUGUUUAGUUUCCCUGUAAGUGAAGAGUUUAUUCACAAAGAAUCACAGAAUAACCCGAUGUGGAAGGGUUCAUUGAAACUAACCCCUGGUUUCACACAAGACUGCCCAAAAACAAAC